rnacentral:rRNA from 1 species
GUUAUCUACGGGACGCAGCAGUGGGGAAUAUUGGGCAAUGGAGGCAACUCUUACCCAGCAAUGCCGCGUGAAUGAAGAAGGUCUUCGGAUUGUAAAGUUCUUUAAUUGGGGACGAAAAAAAUGACGGUACCCAAGGAAUAAGCCCCGGCUAACUACGUGCCAGCAGCCGCGGUAAUACGUAGGGGGCAAGCGUUGUUCGGAAUUACUGGGUGUAAAGGGUGAGUAGGCGGCAUGGUAAGCCAGAUGUGAAAGCCUUGGGCUUAACCCGAGGAUUGCAUUUGGAACUAUCAAGCUAGAGUACAGGG